rnacentral:rRNA from 1 species
GACGAACGCUGGCGGCGUGCUUAACACAUGCAAGUCGAACGAUGAAGCCAGCUUGCUGGUGGAUUAGUGGCGAACGGGUGAGUAACACGUGGGCAACUUGCCCCCGGCUCUGGGAUAACUCCAAGAGAUUGGUGCUAAUACCGGAUAUUCACAUUUCCUCGCAUGGGGGUUUGUGGAAAGUUUUUCGGCUGGGGAUGGGCCCGCGGCCUAUCAGCUUGUUGGUGGGGUGAUGGCCUACCAAGGCGACGACGGGUAGCCGGCCUGAGAGGGUGACCGGCCACACUGGGACUGAGACGCGGCCCAGACUCCUACGGGAGGCAGCAGUGGGGAAUAUUGCGCAAUGGGCGGAAGCCUGACGCAGCGACGCCGCGUGAGGGAUGACGGCCUUCGGGUUGUAAGCCUCUUUCAGCAGGGACGAAGCCGCGAGGUGACGGUACCUGCAGAAGAAGCACCGGCCAACUACGUGCCAGCAGCCGCCGUAAAAC